UGCAUGUUAAUAUAAAUAAGAUUUUUUUUUUUUUUACAUAACAAUAAUUUUUAAAACUUUCAUUUAAAAUAAAAAUAAAACUUUAAUUAUAAAAUAAUCCAAUCCAGUCCGAUCCUGCACCAAACGUUGGACAACUUAUCUACCAUUUAGUCCAUAACUGUGCCAAACACAAUACUGCACUAUUCUAUCCGAUCCAAUCCUGUCCGAUCCGGAUCUAUCCUGUCCUGCAUACCAAACGCCACCUAAAAGAAAUCAAUGCUAUUCGGGCGGGUUGCGGGUUAAUUUUUUCCACUUGAGUUCAUUGGGUCGGAUAUCGCAUUAUGAAUUAAAAACCCAAUAUAAUCUGACCCGACCCGUACGUUAUUACCUAUUACUGUCAUAACUCGUGAAAUUAAGAAUUCCCAAUCUAUUUUGCCCUAAAAUUGGUUUUCCUUCUUCUUCUCUCCAUUUCGACUCUCUCCCACUGCCUAGUCAUCACUAACCAUUCAUCUUAGUUUGACUAUCGACAUCAUAGCAAAGAGAAACCUAGCCAGUUCUAAGGACAUGAUGAAGAAGAAGAAUCUUUUAUUUAUUUAUUAUUUUUUGUUUGUGUUGACGAUAAGCUUGAAAAAGAUGUGAGUCUUUGGAAAUAGCGAAACCAAGGAAUAUGAAAGCGAAAUGGUUAAAGAGGUAAAAUAAGAAAAAGAGUGUUGAUGAAGAGAGAAAGGAGUUUUCAGGGGAUGAUACAGAUAUAGAGGUAGAGAUUGGAAGAAGAGGGCAAGAGAAAAAGAAGGUUUGCAUGAGAUGAAGAAGGAGGGGAGUUUUCAGAGGAUGACACAAAUGGGGAGAAGAGGGCAAGAGAAAAAGAGGGUUUGCAUGAUGACCAAGGGUUUGCAUAGAGAAAGAGAGAGGAUUUGCAUGAUGAUCGAGGUUAUCGGUGGAAACCUGAUCAAUUUGAUUUGAUUGGGAUGGUUAUUAUUUUUUUUCCAAUCCGAUCGACCUGACCCGUGUACAGGUCUACCGACAACAAAAUGUAAUGGAAGAUAGACGGCUGACAAUUGUCGGUUAUAUUUUGAUAACGACGUUAAGAGAGAGCAGAAUUUUGCCUUAUAUAUUAAAUUUUAUUAGAUUUUAGUGGUUGUGGUGAGGGAAGUGUGAGAUCCACGUGUCAACCUGAGUUGAGUAGGUGAAAGUUUGUGUGGAUAAGGACACUGUUAAUUAUUUAUUUAUUUUUGUUGAAUAGAUAAGAACACUUAUAAUAUAUAUAGGUGGCUAUUCUCUCACGCACGUGAGAAUACGAUGUUGGUCACGGGGCCCAGCCCAAAAGAACAAUUCACUAAUAGGUCCGUAUGAAUUAUUUUCUAUCUAAACUCUUUUUUUAUUUUUGUAUUAGUUAAUAUAGUGAUUAUGUUUUCUUUUUUUU